UGAAUACGAGAUGCUACGGCGUCGAAGCAGUCUAUGUCAUACUUCCAAGAAAAGCUUGCACUGUCAUAAACAAAUAAUGCCUGUACCAUAACCGACACAGGUGGGUAGGUAGAGUAUACUAAGGGGCGCGAGAUAACUCUCUCUAAGGAACUCGGCAAAAUGACUCCGUAACUUCGGGAGAAGGAGUGCCUUAUUUAUAAGGUUGCAAUAACAAGAUCCAAGCAACUGUUUACCAAAAACACAGGUCUCCGCUAAGUCGUAAGACGAUGUAUGGGGGCUGACGCCUGCCCAGUGCCAGAAGGUUAAAGAAGUUGGUUAGCAUCCGCGAAGCUGAUAACUGAAGCCCUGGUGAACGGCGGCCGUAACAAUAACGGUCCUAAGGUAGCGAAAUUCCUUGUCGGGUAAGUUCCGACCCGCACGAAAGGCGUAAUGAUUUGGAUACUGUCUCGGAGAGGGGCUCGGUGAAAUAGACUUGUCUGUGAAGAUGCGGACUACCUGCACCAGGACAGAAAGACCCUAUGAAGCUUUACUGUAACCUGAAAUUGAAAUUGGACUUUACUUGCGCAGUAUAGGUGGGAGGCGUUGAGAAUAUUCUUGCGGGAUUAUUGGAGCCAUCAGUGAGAUACCACUCUUGUAAUGUUAGAUUUCUAACUUUGUAUCAUUAUCUGGUCAAAGAACAGUUUCAGGCGGGCAGUUUGACUGGGGCGGUCGCCUCCUAAACGGUAACGGAGGCGCACAAAGGUUUCCUCUGAACGGGUAGAAAUCGUAUCUGGAGUGUAAAGGCAUAAGGAAGCUUGACUGUGAGACCUACAAGUCGAGCAGGGACGAAAGUCGGUCUUAGUGAUCUGACGGUGCUGAGUGGAAAGGCCGUCACUCAACGGAUAAAAGUUACUCUAGGAUAACAGGCUGAUCUCCCCCAAGAGUUCACAUCGACGGGGAGGUUUGGCACCUCGAUGUCGGCUCAUCGCAUCCUGGGGCGGUAGUACGUCCCAAGGGUUGGGCUGUUCGCCCAUGAAAGCGGUACGCGAGCUGGGUUCAGAACGUCGUGAGACAGUUCGGUCCAUAUCCGGUGUAGGCGUUAGAAUAUAGAGAGGAGCCUUCUUUAGUACGAGAGGACCGAGAAGGACAUACCUCUGGUGUACCAGUUAUCGUGCCAACGGUAAACGCUGGGUAGCUAUGUGUGGAGUGGAUAACCGCUGAAAGCAUCUAAGUGGGAAGCCCACCUCAAGAUAAGUAUUCUC
rnacentral:rRNA from 1 species